UUGUAGAGCUAAAACCCACACAGGCUGC
rnacentral:piRNA from 1 species